CUUUUUAUGGCGUGGCUGAGAAUGGUCCCUAGGGUGAUGGGUGUGAGUUUUUUAAAGGAUGGCAGGAGGGUUAAACCCCUCACCAACAUUUGACUACAAUGGACAUCUUGUUAUCCACAUUGUAUCCCUUUAAGAUUUUUGGAAGAUGAAGACAGCUACAGUACAAAAAUCAAAGUUUAUUUCAAGAUGGACUAUUUCCCAUUGCUGGACUCACUGUGAAAGAUCUGGACCCCACACAGCAUUCAGGUGACCACAAAAAUGUUCCUUUGUGGUUUGGCACCAUGAUCUUUUCCUGACACUCAGCUUGCAGCUGACUCCAUACUUCACACUCUCUCGUCUCAGGUCCCUGGAAUCAGGAAAAGGAAGAAGACGUCGUUAGCACCUGCCCAAUCAGCCUUCCUGGCAGAGCACCUUGGCUCCACUGCAACACCGCUCCGCUGCAGCGGAGCCAGAGACCACACCCCUGCCACAGAUUUAGACCUCACAAGUUAACUGAUAACUUGCCUUUCUAUUUUCCGUUCAUCCCACAGACUCUCCGGAGCUGAGGGAGGAGGGCGAUGCAUUCUAUCUAUCCUGCUAGGAGAUCAAACAGAACAGGAUUACACUGACUGACUCCCAGAAAAAGAAGAAACUCCUAAAGGAAAAGCAAGAGAGCUCUGAAGAGCAUUGUAGUACACAGCAGGUGCCCGGAAACUCCUGCUGGGAAGGUCUCUGCUGAAGUAGCUCACUGUAUAUACCGUAAUACAGAUUUAAAGUUGGUUGUGUCAACAAACAGGUACAAUAGGAAAAUAUUUAUGCAUUUGUAGAGCAGUUUUAAAGUACAAAAAGUGCAUUUUCUAUUGUGAAAGAAUCAGCUGCUUUUGAUAGAAAACCAGUGUAGUGCAUAAAACUCUUACUUGACUUCAUCACUGCCUGAAUGACAUGACAAUAAACGUAUUUUAAAAUUACUUUUCUCUGUUUGUUCAAUCAAGUAUACUUUUUAUGUAUGGUUUUUACUUACCUUCACUUCAGCA
ensembl:lncRNA